rnacentral:rRNA from 1 species
GAGCUUGCUCUGUGGAUCAGUGGCGAACGGGUGAGUAACACGUGAGCAAUCUGCCCCUGACUCUGGGAUAAGCGCUGGAAACGGCGUCUAAUACCGGAUACGAGCUGCGACCGCAUGGUCAGUAGCUGGAAAGAAUUUCGGUCAGGGAUGAGCUCGCGGCCUAUCAGCUUGUUGGUGAGGUAAUGGCUCACCAAGGCGUCGACGGGUAGCCGGCCUGAGAGGGUGACCGGCCACACUGGGACUGAGACACGGCCCAGACUCCUACGGGAGGCAGCAGUGGGGAAUAUUGCACAAUGGGCGCAAGCCUGAUGCAGCAACGCCGCGUGAGGGAUGACGGCCUUCGGGUUGUAAACCUCUUUUAGCAGGGAAGAAGCGAAAGUGACGGUACCUGCAGAAAAAGCGCCGGCUAACUACGUGCCAGCAGCCGCGGUAAUACGUAGGGCGCAAGCGUUAUCCGGAAUUAUUGGGCGUAAAGAGCUCGUAGGCGGUCUGUCGCGUCUGCUGUGAAAACCCGAGGCUCAACCUCGGGCCUGCAGUGGGUACGGGCAGACUAGAGUGCGGUAGGGGAGAUUGGAAUUCCUGGUGUAGCGGUGGAAUGCGCAGAUAUCAGGAGGAACACCGAUGGCGAAGGCAGAUCUCUGGGCCGUAACUGACGCUGAGGAGCGAAAGGGUGGGGAGCAAACAGGCUUAGAUACCCUGGUAGUCCACCCCGUAAACGUUGGGAACUAGUUGUGGGGUCCAUUCCACGGAUUCCGUGACGCAGCUAACGCAUUAAGUUCCCCGCCUGGGGAGUACGGCCGCAAGGCUAAAACUCAAAGGAAUUGACGGGGACCCGCACAAGCGGCGGAGCAUGCGGAUUAAUUCGAUGCAACGCGAAGAACCUUACCAAGGCUUGACAUAUAGAGGAAACGUCUGGAAACAGUCGCCCCGCAAGGUCUCUAUACAGGUGGUGCAUGGUUGUCGUCAGCUCGUGUCGUGAGAUGUUGGGUUAAGUCCCGCAACGAGCGCAACCCUCGUUCUAUGUUGCCAGCACGUAAUGGUGGGAACUCAUGGGAUACUGCCGGGGUCAACUCGGAGGAAGGUGGGGAUGACGUCAAAUCAUCAUGCCCCUUAUGUCUUGGGCUUCACGCAUGCUACAAUGGCCGGUACAAAGGGCUGCAAUACCGUGAGGUGGAGCGAAUCCCAAAAAGCCGGUCCCAGUUCGGAUUGAGGUCUGCAACUCGACCUCAUGAAGUCGGAGUCGCUAGUAAUCGCAGAUCAGCAACGCUGCGGUGAAUACGUUCCCGGGUCUUGUACACACCGCCCGUCAAGUCAUGAAAGUCGGUAACACCUGAAGCCGGUGGCC